AGCCGCACGUUCCCCCCGCACCUCCCCCCCCAAUUCCCAUUUCUGAUCGUAGUUUCCCUUCACUUACAACAAUUAAAAACCUAUUUUUGCUUCUGGACAACUCGAAAUGAUCUUUAAUGCCUUCCUCUGGCGCUGGUCCCGCGGUGGUCAAGGCGCCGGCCAAGGGAUGCAAGGAGAGGGAAGGGCCGAGAUCGCUGCGCCCGAGGAAGUUGCAUAAGGAUAGACUCCGUUUUUCGGGUCCCCUCGAAAAAUCGGCCGCGAGGGGGAGGAAAAGGAAGCGGGGGGGGGGGGGGGGGGUCGGACUGAGAAGGGAAACCAAAGCGACGUUUUACCUCCUUCUCCCCGGGGAAGGGUGGGGCAAUUCUCAGAGCAGCCAAUCCACCAUGUGCCGCUCGAUGUCUGCAUUCAGCCGGGCGAGAGCGGGCCUUCGUCUUGCGCAAACCCUGCCCCCAGGCCGAAGGCACGCUCCAGGUCAGGAAAAAAAAAAAUAAGAAAUAAAGUUUUCAGCUGUCACCGAGCCCGACCUGCCCCCUCUUGGAGGACUCGAAGGGUGCGUGGGGAAGCGGGCGUAUCACGCUCGCCGGUGCUCUGCUCUUCGAAGUGGCCGCUGUCCUCAGUGACAGUUGAAACUUGUUAGGCCUCGGCUGUGGGAUUUGUGGGGAGUCACGGGUCGACGGGGACAUCGGCGCUCGGGUCCCUCAGCGAGGCGCAGGGCGAGGACGCCCCUCGACAUGUACUCAGUCAAGAUGGCUGAGCGCCCCAAGCACCC
rnacentral:lncRNA from 1 species